rnacentral:rRNA from 1 species
GCAUAUCAAUAAGCGGAGGAAAAGAAACCAACAGGGAUUGCCCCAGUAACGGCGAAGUGAAGCGGCAACAGCUCAAAUUUGAAAUCUGGCCCCUAGGGUCCGAGUUGUAAUUUGUAGAGGAUGCUUUUGGCGAGGCGCCUUCCGAGUUCCCUGGAACGGGACGCCAUAGAGGGUGAGAGCCCCGUCUGGUUGGAUGCCAAGCCUCUGUAAAGCUCCUUCGACGAGUCGAGUAGUUUGGGAAUGCUGCUCUAAAUGGGAGGUAUAUGUCUUCUAAAGCUAAAUAUUGGCCAGAGACCGAUAGCGCACAAGUAGAGUGAUCGAAAGAUGAAAAGCACUUUGAAAAGAGGGUUAAAUAGUACGUGAAAUUGUUGAAAGGGAAGCGUUUGUGACCAGACUUGGGCCCGGUUAAUCAUCCAGCGUUCUCGCUGGUGCACUUUGCCGGCCCAGGCCAGCAUCAGUUCUCGCCGGGGGAUAAAGGUUUCGGGAAUGUGGCUCCCUCGGGAGUGUUAUAGCCCGUUGCGUAAUACCCUGGUGGGGACUGAGGUUCGCGCUCCGCAAGGAUGCUGGCGUAAUGGUCAUCAGCGACCCGUCUUGAAACACGGACCAAGGAGUCGUCUUCGUAUGCGAGUGUUCGGGUGUCAAACCCCUACGCGUAAUUAAAGUGAACGCAGGUGAGAGCUUCGGCGCAUCAUCGACCGAUCCUGAUGUUCUCGGAUGGAUUUGAGUAAGAGCAUACGGGGCCGGACCCGAAAGAAGGUGAACUAUGCCUGUAUAGGGUGAAGCCAGAGGAAACUCUGGUGGAGGCUCGCAGCGGUUCUGACGUGCAAAUCGAUCGUCAAAUAUGGGCAUGGGGGCGAAAGACUAAUCGAACCUUCUAGUAGCUGGGUUUCCGCCGA